rnacentral:rRNA from 1 species
AUUGAACGCUGGCGGCAGGCCUAACACAUGCAAGUCGAGCGAGCGGCGGACGGGUGAGUAAUGUAUGGGGACUGCCCGAUAGAGGGGGAUAACUACUGGAAACGGUGUCUAAUACCGCAUACUAUCGGAUAACCCAUAUGUGAUUAGCUAGUAGGUGGGGUAAAGGCUCACCUAGGCGACGUUCUCUAGCUGGUCUGAGAGGAUGAUCAGCCACACUGGGAAUGAGAAACGGCCCAGAGUCCUACGGAGGCAGCAGUGGGGGAUAUUGCACAAUGGGGACCAGCUUGAGGGAGCCAUACCGAGUAUAUGAAAAAGGCCUUAAGGUUGCAAAGUACUUUCAGCAGGGAGGCGUUACCCGCAGAAGAAGCACCGGCUAACUCCGUGCCAGCAGCCGAGGUAAUUC